GUUGUGAGUAAUGAGAUUGUUUUUUGCUGCGUUUAGGUUGUACCACCUCGUUGUUUUCGUGUACUUUUGUGCUCAUCGACGCGAAGUGAGCGUCCGGAGUGAAGGCGACGCGAUUAUGCGUGAGAAAGAAGGGCACCAGCGGCCUACGACAUCGGUGUUUCUUUGUGACAGUGUGUUUACUACGCCUACGACGGCCGUCAUUCGUGGCGAAGGAGAAAACAUCUUCCAUUCGGCCUGAACAGUGAUGAAGUGGACGUUUUGUUUUUCGGCGGAAUGCAUCGUCAACAUGGUCCAUCCACUACGUAAACGAAACGGCGUGCCCAGAGUACAGAUCGUGACAGCGCUCCGCCUUCAAACCGAGGGCCUUUUGCAAGGCGCAUGAACUGCUCAUAUAAAAGUUGCAGUCAGCAUGAAGCAAUUGCAGUCAGCAUGAAGCAAUUGCAUGGGAACCGACUGGCUGUCUUGGGCCUACACGUUGCUGAAAAGACAGUGAAGACGUCUGACCCGACAGGUAGAAAAGAAGCAGAUGGCUACAGUGAUCAAUGAAGAAAUGGCUUCAUCUAUGAUGGCUCGCCUUAGGACAUUGGAAUGGAGCUACAAAAAGGCAUCAUCCUCGCCUGUGCCCUGAAACUUUGGCUUGAAUGAGACUGUUCUUCAAUGUAGA